UGGGGAAUAUUGGACAAUGGGGGCAACCCUGAUCCAGCAAUGCCGCGUGUGUGAAGAAGGCCUGCGGGUUGUAAAGCACUUUUGGCAGGGAUGAAAAGCACUGGAUUAAUAACCCAGUGUGUUGACCUAACCUGCAGAAGAAGCACCGGCUAACUCUGUGUCAGCAGCCGCGGUAAUACAGGGGGUGCGAGCGUUAAUCGGAAUUACUGGGCGUAAAGGGCGCGUAGGCGGUCGAGUAAGUCGGAUGUGAAAUCCCCGGGCUUAACCUGGGAAUUGCAUUCGAUACUGCUUGGCUAGAGUGUGGAAGAGGGAAGCGGAAUUUCCGGUGUAGCGGUGAAAUGCGUAGAUAUCUGGAGGAACACCGGUGGCGAAGGCGGCAUCCUGGACCGGUAUUGACGCUGAGUGAGCGAAAGCCAGGGGAGCAAACAGGAUUAGAUACCCUAGUAGUCCCUGAGCGGGCUGGCAAGGCGCAU
rnacentral:rRNA from 1 species